UUCACGUCCUAACCCCUAGAAUCUAUGAAUAUGUUAGGUUACAGGGCAAAGGGGAAUUAAGAGUGCAGGUGGAAUUAAGAUUAAUUAGCUGACCUUAAGAUAGGGAAUGUAGCAUAAUUUAUCCAGGUGAGCCCAAUAUAAUCACAAUGGAAGACAGAGACAGAAGAAUCAGAGUCAGAGAAGACGUGGCUACAGAGGAGAGAGUGAUGAGAUGUGAGGAUUCUGCCUGCCAUUGCUGGCUUUCAAGAUGAAGGAAGGGGGCCAUGAACCAAGGGGAUGCCUCUAGAAGCUGGAAAAGGUAGGUGCUAUUAACAGUGAAAUGACAAUGCAAAAGCAAAGCAGAGGAAAGCACCAGCAAAGGACAUGCCUCGCUGACUGCAGAUUACAGUGUCCUCUACUCAAU
rnacentral:lncRNA from 1 species